rnacentral:sRNA from 2 species
ACAGGCUGAAAAAGUCAUAAUGCCGUUCGUGCUUGCACGUAUAGGCAUUUGAAUUUGGAAGCCGCCCAAUCAUGAGGAAGUAGCGAUUUUUGAAAAAAAUCUGCGGAUUCCGAAUGAUUGCAGAAUUACGAGAAUUGCGAAGCAAUGGAGUAAUUCGU